AUACAUCUAAAUAUGUUGCACUCCUAGACAGAGAAGAUGGAUUCAUGGCAGAUAGGAAGAGUCAACAUAUACAGCCCAGAUAUGUUCCACUCCCACACAAUGAAGAUGGUUUCAUGGUAGAUGGCACAUUAGGAUGUUUAACGUAUACAGCCUAAAUAUGUUACACUCCUAGACAAUGAAGAUGGUUUCAUGGUAGAUUGAUCGCACAUCUGGAUACGUAGCAUGUA